rnacentral:rRNA from 1 species
GAUGAACGCUGGCGGCGUGCCUAAUACAUGCAAGUCGAGCGAAUGGAUUAAGAGCUUGCUCUUAUGAAGUUAGCGGCGGACGGGUGAGUAACACGUGGGUAACCUGCCCAUAAGACUGGGAUAACUCCGGGAAACCGGGGCUAAUACCGGAUAACAUUUUGAACCGCAUGGUUCGAAAUUGAAAGGCGGCUUCGGAUGUCACUUAUGGAUGGACCCGCGUCGCAUUAGCUAGUUGGUGAGGUAACGGCUCACCAAGGCAACGAGGCGUAGCCGACCUGAGAGGGUGAUCGGCCACACUGGGACUGAGACACGGCCCAUACUCCUACGGGAGGCAGCAGUAGGGAAUCUUCCGCAAUGGACGAAAGUCUGACGGAGCAACGCCGCGUGAGUGAUGAAGGCUUUCGGGUCGUAAAACUCUGUUGUUAGGGAAGAACAAGUGCUAGUUGAAUAAGCUGGCACCUUGACGGUACCUAACCAGAAAGCCACGGCUAACUACGUGCCAGCAGCCGCCGUAA